AAGGCCGUACUCACUAGGAUCAUUUCUAUAGUACGCGUCCCGUCUUUGUAACCUUACAGAGACAACUACGAUACCCACGGUGACGAUGCAAAGCGUGAUCCUCUGAGCGCGAAACACGUCGAGGGCAUUGCCUUGAUUGGCAAGUCGCCACCGGCGAUUGAUGAACGUUUCUUCUCGCCUUUUUACAGGCUUCAGGAAAGAGGAUUGCGCAUUCAGAGUGGG
rfam:Nematostella vectensis strain CH2 x CH6 NEMVEscaffold_156_Cont16180, whole genome shotgun sequence.